CCAAUGGAUCGGAUGGAUCCAAUGGAUCGGAUGGAUCCAAAGGAUCCAAUGGAUAAAUAGAUAUCCAUCGGAUCCUUUGGAUCCAUCGCAUCCAUUGGAU
rnacentral:miRNA from 1 species